rnacentral:rRNA from 1 species
AUGGUGAUCUAUGAGCCUCGUCUCGGUGGGCUGACCAAUCUCCAGGAUCUUCGGCUCACCUGUUCUACAGUUCCUUCUUAUUUAAAAAGCAAAAUGGAUAAUAUGGACUCUAUUCUCGCUAAACUCACCAACCUCAGAUCGGUAACUUUGGAGCGUUCAAGUUAUCUGGACAGUGGACCUUCCAGCAUGAGCAUUUCCUGCGAUGGCUUGAGCAGCAGUUCCUCUCCUCCGGUGCUUCUUCAGAGAUUUGAGUGGUUGCCAUGCAUUUGCAGCUUCUCAAGCAUUCCCAAAUGGACUGGACAUCUCAGCAAGCUGUGCAAUUUAAAGAUUGGGAUUAGGGAACUAAUGAGCAAUGAUGUUGAUGUUCUCAGAGGAUUGCCGGCACUUACUGUUUUCUCAUUAUAUGUCCGAGCAAAUCCUGCAGAAAGAAUUGUCUUCACUUAA